rnacentral:rRNA from 1 species
UACGAACGCUGGCGGCAUGCCUAACACAUGCAAGUCGAACGAGACCUUCGGGUCUAGUGGCGCACGGGUGCGUAACGCGUGGGAACCUGCCCUUAGGUUCGGAAUAACUCCCCGAAAGGGGUGCUAAUACCGGAUAAUGUCUUCGGACCAAAGAUUUAUCGCCUUUGGAUGGGCCCGCGUUGGAUUAGCUAGUUGGUAGGGUAAAAGCCUACCAAGGCGACGAUCCAUAGCUGGUCUGAGAGGAUGAUCAGCCACACUGGGACUGAGACACGGCCCAGACUCCUACGGGAGGCAGCAGUGGGGAAUAUUGGACAAUGGGCGAAAGCCUGAUCCAGCAAUGCCGCGUGAGUGAUGAAGGCCUUAGGGUUGUAAAGCUCUUUUACCCGGGAUGAUAAUGACAGUACCGGGAGAAUAAGCUCCGGCUAACUCCGUG